rnacentral:misc_RNA from 1 species
UCCGGGUUACCCCGGCUGUCUCGUCAGAGUCCCCAACGCUACUUGCUGGUAACUGACGACAAGGGUUGCGCUCGUUGCGGGACUUAACCCAACAUCUCACGACACGAGCUGACGACAACCAUGCACCACCUGUCUCACUGCUCCUUGCGGCACCCCGGUAUCUCUACCGGGUUCAGUGGAUGUCAAGCCCUGGUAAGGUUCUUCGCGUUGCUUCGAAUUAAACAACAUGCUCCGCUGCUUGUGCGGGCCCCCGUCAAUUCCUUUGAGUUUCAACCUUGCGGCCGUACUCCCCAGGCGGAAUACUUAUUGCGUUAGCUCCGGCACAGAAGACCUGCGUCCCCUACACCUAGUAUUCAUCGUUUACCGCGUGGACUAC